rnacentral:rRNA from 1 species
CGGUAAUUCCAGCUCCAAUAGCGUAUACUAAAGUUGUUGCAGUUAAAAAGCUCGUAGUUGGAUUUCUGCGGGGACGGAGCGGCCGGACGCAACUUGCGUCUCGAGCUAGCGCUUUCCCCGCAUCCUGCCGCGAACCGUGCUACCAUUAGUUUGGUGGCGCUGGGGAUCGGCUCGAUUACUUUGAGAAAAAUAGAGUGUUCAAAGCAGGCCACACGCCUUGAAUAAGUUAGCAUGGAAUAAUGACUAAGGACUUUGGUUCUUUUCGUUGGUGUUCGGGACUGAAGUAAUGAUUGAUAGGGACAGUUGGGGCGGUCUGUAUUCCAAAGCGAGAGGUGAAAUUCUUAGACCUUCGGAAGACAAACAGCUGCGAAAGCGUUCCGCAAGGAUGUUCCCUUUGAUCAAGAACGAAAGUUGGGGGAUCGAAGACGAUCAGAUACCGUCGUAGUCUCAACUAUAAACUAUACCAGCUAGGGAUCGGCCAACGUUUAAUUAUUCGACUUGGUCGGCACCUUAUGAGAAAUCAAAGCAUCUGGGUUCCGGGGGGAGUAUGGUCGCAAGGCUGAAACUUAAAGGAAUUGACGGAAGGGCACCACCAGGCGUGGAGCCUGUGGCUUAAUUUGACUCAACACGGGAAAACUUACCAGGUCCAGACAUAGGAAGGAUUGACAGAUUGAUAGCUCUUUCUUGAUUCUGUGGGUGGUGGUGCAUGGCCGUUUUUAGUCGGUGAAGUGAUUUGUCUGCUUAAUUGCGUUAACGGACGAGACCCCAGCCUGCUAAAUAGCGCGGCCGAGCUUUGCUCGGUGCGAGCUUCUUAGAGGGACCAUGAUGCGCGAUAGCACAAGGAAGUUUGGGGCAACAACAGGUCUGUGAUGCCCUUAGAUGCUCUGGGCCGCACACGGGCUACACUGGCGCCUGCAACGAGCAUAUCAGCUGGCCCGAGAGGGUCUUGGCUAAUCUUUGGAACCGGCGCCGUGCUUGGGAUUGACCAUUGCAAUUGUUGGUCAUGCAACGAGGAAUGCCUUGUAAACGCGAGUCAUCAGCUCGCAUUGAAUACGUCCCUGCCCUUUGUACACACCGCCCGUCGCUCCUACCGAUGAAUGUUCCGAUGAAAUUUUCGGAGAGCACCAGAGAACGGGGCUCCGCCUUGCAGAACUGGAGGCUCAAAGUCACUUAAAUCUGAACAUUUCGAGGAAGGAGAAGUCGUAACAAGGUAACC